UCCAGGGGGCAUAGACAAACUCAUCGGACAUACUCACCGAUUGAAUGCAAAGGAGGAGAAAAGGUCAGAGGUUAGCUUAGGUCAGGUCAAGUUAGGUUACGUUAGGUCAGGGCAGGGUUGGUGAAGUUAGGUUAGGUUGUUAGGUUUGGUUUGGUUAGUCGAGGUUAGGUUAGUGUGUAAGGUUAGGUAAGGAGGUGAGGUUACGUUAGAUUAGGGCAGGGUUGGUGAAGUUAGGUUAGGUUGUUAGAUAAGGUUAAGUUAGGUUUGGUGAGGUUAGGUUAGUCGAGGUAAGGUUAGGUAAGGUUAAGUUAGUCGAGGUGAGGUUACGUUAGAUUAGGGCAGGGUUGGUGAAGUUAGGUUAGGUAGUAUAGGUUAGGUUAGGUUGUUAGGUUUGGUUAGGUGAGGUUAGGUUAGUCGAGGUUAGGUUAGUUUGUAAGGUUAAGUUAGUCGAGGUGAGGUUACGUUAGAUUAGGGCACGGUUGGUGAAAUUAGGUUAGGUAGGUCAGGUUAGGUUGUUAGAUUAGGUUAAGUUAGGUUUGGUUUGGUGAGGUUAAGUUAGUCGAGGUUAGGUUAGUUUGUAAGGUUAGGUAAGGUUAAGUUAGUCGAGGUGAGGUUACGUUAGAUUAGGGCACGGUUGGUGAAGUUAGGUUAGGUUGUUAGAUUAGGUGAAGUUAGGUUUGGUGAGGUGAGGUUAGGUUAGUCGAGGUUAGGUUAGUUUGUAAGGUUAGGUUAGGUUAGGUUAGCUUUUGUUUAAUUUCAGUGAACAUUUGUCCUCCUUUGCAUCUAAUGUGUGAGGUUAUUAUGUCCGGUGAAGUUAUGUUCGAUGAAAUGCUUAGGGGGACAAAAACACCAAGGUCAGAUUAGAUUAGGUUAGGUCAGGUUAGGUUAGGUUAGGUCAGGUUAGGUUAGGUCAGGUUAGGUUAGGUCAGGUCAGGUUA